UACAGAGGGGGCAAGCGUUAUUCGGAAUUAUUGGGCGUAAAGGGCGCGUAGGCGGCUUGGCAAGUGGAUGGUGAAAGUCCCUCGGCUUAACCGAGGAACUGCCGUCCAAACUGCUUCGCUUGAGACCGGGAGAGGUGAGUGGAAUUCCCAGUGUAGCGGUGAAAUGCGUAGAUAUUGGGGAGGAACACCAGUGGCGAAGGCGGCUCACUGGACCGGUACUGACGCUGAUGCGCGAAAGCGUGGGGAGCAAACGGG
rnacentral:rRNA from 1 species